GCACGACCGCCGCCGCCACCCAUCCCGCCGUCGCACUCCACGGCGCCCCGGCCGCGGUCGCCCCUCUGCAACCUCCGUCCCCCACCGUCGCGCCGGCCCGCGCACCACGCCGCUGAGAAUCACGCCUUCGAGUUGCUUUGCUUCACGGUAAUGAAGAGAUAUAAGGAAACGGAGGAGGAGCUCAAGGGAACUAAAGGCAGAAGAAUAAAGAAGUAAGGAGUGAGGGUAGAUGACAGCCUCCAAGGCAAUAACUAGGUAAGGCAUCAACCUGAAUUUGUAGCACCACAGCCUCCAAGGCAAUAACUAGGUACCACAGCCUGACUGAACUCUUAGCAGUUUGGAUGAUGCACAUAGGGGCUAAUUAUCUCGGCGGUAUACUUAAAAAACUUUCAGACUCAAAACGCAAAGCAGCAAUGGUAGUCCUAGUUCCCCAAAUAUUCAUUUAUUUUCUAGUUUUGAGGUCUAUACAAGAUCACCUUGCAGUCUCAAAUGCACAGGAUGGCAGCACUUAAUUUCUUCAUGUUGACUGCCAGCAAGGUGUUAUAUGAAAUCUCAUGAUGAUACUCAUGUGAAUAAGAAGGUAUAUCUCUGAACCGAUCAAUCAUUUUUACUUCAAACCAUUGAUUUCUUCGACAAUAUAGUAAUGCAAAGCAAUUCAUAUCAGAUUUACCAAGGACCACAUACCUUUCUCUUUCUUAAGUUAGUUGGAAUCUGUUUAAUCUUAUUCUCGAGGUAGACCAUGAUAAGUUGGUUUCAUGGCAUAUUACAGGUUAGAACAAACUGGAUACAAACAAUUGUUAAUACACAGAAAGAGCUAAUAGUUCUUUUGUGAGCAGUAAUUCAAUUAGCUUGGCUGUACCCUUCUGUAAUUCUGUGAAGCCCGCAUCUAUUUGUUAUGGUCUCUCAUGUAUUUUGGUGGAGGGAUGUGUGUGCUGGAUGGCGAUUUUGAGUGUGGCCGGUGGAACUUCGGUUGUUGGCCUUUGUCCUUUUUGCCUGAGCUAAUGUACUGGAACUAAAUGUAGACAUUACUAUUCUGGAACAAAGUUCUCUUGGAGUGAUGUGAGGAUUGUUAAAAAUUGAAGUUAUGUAAGAAUUUUUAGAACUAAUGUGAGAUAUCAAAGUCUGUUUUAAUCCAAAGAAAGCAUCAACAAAGUCCUGUACAAUACUAACAAUAAAAAGUCAUCUAUUUUUUGAUUUGGUCAUGCUUAUGUUCGUAUGUAGGCAUAUUCCCUUUUGCCAUUUCUGCUUUACCAUCGAGGUUGUCCGCUAGGACUGAGAAGAGGAUGCUUGUUUAUGUUUGUAUGUAGGCAGUUCCCCUUUUGCCAUUUCUGCUUUACCAUGGAGGUUGUCCGCUAGGACUGAGAAGGGAAUGCUUGCUUGAACUCCUUUUGGAGGCGUUGACGGGAAGCAUAUAAACCACAAGGUAAAGAUAGAUGGAAGAAGUUUUGACCUUUCCAUUACUUUUACCUUUUGUUGCCUGCUAUCUAGACAUGGCACGGGCUCCGGUCACGCUGCAGCAGGUGGAGCAGGAGCUUCUCGCCUUCUCCGCGUCGUCGUUGACGGCAGGGACAUGUCAACUUCGACGAGUUCCCCUACCUUUUGUUCUUCAGAAGACCACGCCACUGGAGUUCAUGUUCAGUAGACCCUCAACCUGCUCGCUGCCAAUAUGCGGCGGCAAGGGAGAUGGUCCGGAGCUUUGUCACUCCCUCUCUAUUUUUUGUCAAUAUGCAGUGACAGGGGUGAAACUAGAUAAAUUGCAAGUAUGAAUGAAUUGAUUUUUUCAAUCAUAGAGCAAGAAUAGUUGAUAAUUUUAGUUACACUCUUUUGUUUACUUUUUCAGAGAGUAGUCCGGAGUAUCACGGUUAUGGUUAGAUACGUUCUCUAUUUUAAACGUGUGAUACAUUAUGGAAAAAUGUGUGUAAUGGCUUUCCUAUUUCUUGCACUCGACCAAAUUGAUUGGGUAUAGAUAAUUGUAAUUGGCUAGAUUGUGAAGGAGAAGAAUUCCAAUGUAUACAAGCUAGACCAAGGAGCUGUUGAUGAUACUUUUUUUUUUGAA